UAUUGGGAAAAGUACGCCAAAAAUAAUCUAUAUCCCAGGAAUUACUUUUCCGUCUUUGUGCAAUUAAAUAUGAAAUCAAGUAAACCAAUUAUGAGAACAAAAAUAACAAAUAACCAUCCACAAGCAAGACACCAAAUUUACGUGAAAAACCCUCUAAAAUUAAGAGGUAAAAACCACGGGUCAAACUCCGAAUCUCCACUAUAUCACUAAUAAUGGGCUUACAAUAAUC
rnacentral:lncRNA from 1 species